AUGGCUCGGGCUCUCCUCAAGCAGAGAGGGAUGCCGGCUGUCUUCUGGGGAGAGGCGGUGCUAACGGCCGUCUACAUCCUCAACCGCUCUCCUACUAAGGCACUCGACGGCAAAACUCCGUACGAGGCCUGGCAUGGGCGGAAGCCGGCGGUCUCUCAUUUGCGGGUCUUUGGCUGCCUUGCGUUCGCCAAGGAGCUCGGCCACAUCGGCAAGCUCGACGACAGGAGCACUCCGGGAGUCUUCAUCGGCUACGCGGAGGGCUCAAAGGCCUACAGCAUCCUCGACCCAAAGACACAACAUGCGGUGGACGACGGCUCGACGCCGACGUAUGACGACUUCAUUGUCGAGUACGCUCACUUCAAGGAAGCUGGGGGAGCAAGCAGCUCCUCUUCACCGGGCACGUCUACCCCGGCCCCCAAAACUACAUCGACUCCGGCGCCUGCUACACCGACGACACCACAACCGGCGACGCCGCAUACUCCAGCCCCGGCGGUCGCCACUCCGGGCUCGUCUUCAUCAGCACCAGCUCACGCAGAGCACAACCCGAUGAAGUUCGCUUCCCCGCUCACUCACGACGAGGAGCGGGUCGACGCAUGGUAUGGAGGUGAACCGCUGCGGUACCGUACGAUGGAUAAUGUGCUCGGCGACCAGCCGGUGCCAGGACUGGUGGCACGUGACCUGGAGGCGCAGCUACAGCUCGUGUGUGAAGACGGCGAACCACGGUCCUUUGCAGAGGCCGAGAGAGACGCGGCAUGGCGCGCCGCGAUGAAGUUGGAGAUGGAUGCGGUCGAGCAAAACCGCACCUGGGAGCUUGCUGAUCUCCCUCGAGGUCACCGCGCAAUCACCCUUAAGUGGGUGUUCAAGCUGAAGAGGGAUGGAGCCGGCGCCAUCAUCAAGCACAAGGCUCGUUUGGUGGCCCGAGGCUUCUUGCAGCAGGAAGGAGUCGACUUCGACGACGCUUUCGCUCCCGUGGCACGGAUGGAGUCCGUGCGACUUCUCCUUGCGCUGGCUGCCCAGGAGGGCUGGCGUGUCCACCACAUGGACGUUAAGUCGGCAUUCCUCAAUGGCGACUUGAAGGAGGAAGUCUACGUGCAUCAGCCACCGGGGUUUACGAUUCCCGGCCAGGAGGGCAAGGUGCUCCGCCUGCGCAAGGCUCUCUAUGGCCUGCGGCAGGCACCCAGGGCGUGGAACGCCAAGCUGGACUCCACGCUGAAGAAGAUGGGUUUCGAGCAGAGCCCGCAUGAGGCUGCCGUCUACUGA
rnacentral:rRNA from 1 species